rnacentral:pre_miRNA from 17 species
UUGCUGUGUGGCCUAGGUCAGAAGUAAUGUCAAAGUGCUUACAGUGCAGGUAGUGUCUAAAAUCUACUGCAGUGGAGGCACUUCAAGCAUUAUGUUGACAGUAACCCCUCCUUGAACC